rnacentral:lncRNA from 1 species
UCUAAUCAAAACAUUUUAUGGUUGAAUUAUGCCUGCUUCCACUGUUAUAAAAAUUCUACUAAUGAAAUUGCAUUUUAAUAUUUUAGACUAGAUGCCUAAAGUUUGCUUCUUCAUGCAUUUCCUUCACCUGGACAACCUGCCAUCUCCAGGGAGCAGGACCUAGGAUUAUGGAAGUCCACCUUUCACUUACUGAAUUUGGGCAUCCUCUUGUGAAGUCUCUACAGAAAAAUGGAACUGUAUGCAAGAACUGACAGCUAUUCAGAAGGGACAACAAACUAACAUGAAUUCAUCUUGAAAUCCAGAUUUCUUGAAUUCAAGUUCCUUGACUCACAGUUAGCUAUUAAAGGCUUCAGGAGGGUAUCAGGAUGAAUCGUUUGUAGUAAGGUGUGGAAGAAUGACAUUCUGAGGUAAAUGUGAUGUAACUCCCAAAGAAAGGUAGGUGAGGAUCUAUAGGCUGUUAUACACAACAGUUAUAACUUCCUUAUCACCACUCUCUAAAUAUGAAGAAGAAAAUAAUGCUGCAGCCUAAAAUUUGAGCUGAGUAAAAUGAGCACUGGUUAAUUUUUCCUUGUUGGGUAAGGAGUUUCACCACUCCACUCCCUGCACUGCACACUGGGGCAUAAAUACAGGUAUGGAAAUUUUAUAGUUAGUCCUGUGAGAAACUCACACAUAGAAACGUGGAAGGGGAGAGACUGUAGAUAAUAAUUUAAAAUAUUUCCUCUGUGACUUGAAGGUACAGGAAAAACAUCACA